CGUGCCUCCACCCACGCCGGCGUCGGCGGGCGUAUUUCGCCUCACAGUAGGUCGCCGCGACCCGUUGCUUUUGGGGACGUCGAAGGCCCGGACGGAUUGGUACCCUACCGGCUGGGGAUGCGGCUUCGGCUUCUCCUCUUGUCCGGUGGGCGAAACCGCCGGUGUCCUGGCUGCCCUGCGACGGUCGUAGAGACGAGCCCUCCCCUUCGGGGGGGCGGCUCUCGCGGCGUGCAAAAGGUCGGUGAUCCACCCGACCCGUCUUGAAACACGGACCAAGGAGUCUAACAUGUGUGCGAGUCAGUGGGCGCACUAAACCCAGAGGCGUAAUGAAAGUGACACGGGUUCGGCUGUCGCCUCGUGUGGCAGCCGGACUCAGGGCCGAUCCCUCACCGGUUGCCCUCGCCUCUCUCCCGCGUCUCGGUAAGCCGGGUGAGCUAUUUUCCCCGGCCGCUGCUGCGGGGCUCGGGGGGAGGCGGGGUUGCGAUGGUGUCCGUAAAAAAGAGCCUGCUGUUGCAGGGGGGCGCAGGCCCGGGACUUGCCAGGACGCCGCGAGACUGUCACUUUGCUGUGAGGCUCUCGGGUCGAUCAGCGGGUCAUGCGUGCAGUCGGCAAGUACCAUGAGCAGACAUGUUGGGACCCGAAAGAUGGUGAACUAUGCCUGGCCAGGAUGAAGCCAGAGGAAACUCUGGUGGAGGUCCGUAGCGAUUCUGACGUGCAAAUCG
rnacentral:rRNA from 1 species